AGCCAGCCCUCCAGGCGACUUCCGGUCACGCUCAAGUGUGAGAACCACAAAACCAGAGGCAUGGAUUGGCUGCGGAUCAAGCAAGAGGGCUUGGGCCCACAGCCCUCAUGAGAAACGCACCACAGGCUGACCACCUGAGAGAAGCCACAGGGUUCCUGACCACUGGGGUGGUUACUGAAAACUGUUCCCUGGAUUGAGGUGGCAAAAUCGGAGGUUUAAACUCUAGCACCUAAACUGCCCAUUUCCAAAAUCCUUGUCGCUG